UUGGUGUUGGCGUUGCAUCCUCCCGAUACAGAAGCAAUCAUUUAGUGAGUCUCAAACACAGUCUCACAUAAACACACAACACAACACAAAACUUCAAAAGCCACACACAACACACACUUCCGAUAGAAGAGGCUCCGCGACAAUUCAGCUACUGACUACUGUGGAAUGUGUGGACAGCAGAGAUAGGAGUUUUUUUUGCUGUCGGAUUGCUUUCUUUUGAGGUUUCUAACCGUGUUGGGUUUUCAUUAUGAGCGGGGUGCCUAAGAGGUCUCAUGAAGAUUCUGUUCAUCAGUCUUCAAAGCAUCCACAUCCAGAUUCUGGUACAUAUUCCAAGUUGAUGCCAUCUGUUUCAAAUGACCACCAUAUUCCGUAUGAUAUGGGUCAGGAUUCCCGGGUGGCAAAGACACUCCGUACUGAAUCUCGUGAUGCAGAUAGAAGAUCUCCUCUUCAUACAGUGUAUCGGAUGCCAUCAUCUUCAAAUGAUUCUUAUACAGAUCAUCCCACUGGAACUGAGAACAGGAUAGAAUCUAGGGAUUUCAAGGAGAGUAGGGAUCUCCGGUUUGAGAAUCGUGAUAUGAACUCUGAGAAGAAGGAAUUGCAUGGUGAAGUCAGAAGGGAUUCUCAGAUUGCUAAAAGUGAAAAAGAUGCACGAGUUGAUGCCAGAGGAGAUGACAACAAGGAUGUCAGAUAUGAACGAGAUAGUCAUAAUGAUUCGAAAGGUGACAUUAAGACAGAUAAGGAUGGCUAUGGUAUGGUAAGCAGCAGCAGCCACUUGAAUUGGAAAGAAUCAAAGGAGUAUAGGGGGAAGAGAUUUUCUGAUACUCCUGGUGGGAGUUUGGAUUCUUGGCAUGCAUCACGUGGCAAUACACCAGAAGUUGGAAAGGGCAGUUCAAUGGCAGAAGAAAGGGACAGUUUGGAAACUCAUGAAGCUGUUGGAGAAAACAAAAUUGAUUCUAAAAGUGAAGAUAGGUUUAAAGAAAGAAAAAGAAAGGAUGGCAAGCAUCGGGAUUGGGGGAUAGGGAAAAGGAGAGAAGUGAUCGCAGAAGCAGUACACCAGUUAACAAUAAUAGUGGUGACAACAAAGAAUCUGCCAAGGAAGAUAAAGAUGUAGAAAAAUUGGAGAGGGAGAGGAAAGAUCUUCCAAAAGAGAAAGAAAGUUCAAAAGAGAGGGAAAAGGAUCAUAACAAGAGGGAAUCCUGGAAUAGCAUUGACAAAGAGGCUUUGAAUGAUGACAUGGAACUUGGUGAUGGAUCAGCAAAAAGUACUGUGCAAGAAAAUGUUUUACCAGAACAGAAGAAACAGAAAGAUGUUGAUAGCUGGAAAAAUGUUGAUGGAGAAGCUAGAGAGAGGAGGAAAGAAAGGGAUGCUGAUUUACAGGGAGAUCGGCCUGAGAAGCGCAGUAAAAUUGACAAACAAUCAGAAGAUGGAAUUGUUCACGGGGAAGGGUCUGGAGAAAAGGAGAGGGAAGUUCAUAAUUAUAAUGUUCAACAUCGUAAAAGGAUCCAUCGAUCAAGGGGAAGCCCGCAGGUGGCCAAUCGGGAGGCUCGUUUUAGAUCCCAUGCUCAUGCCCCUGAGAAUGAAGAGUCUCAAGGUAAAGCAGAAGUAUCUUCUGUUGUUUAUAAAGUUGGUGAAAGCAUGCAAGAACUGAUAAAGUUAUGGAAGGAAUAUGAAUUAUCUCAAUCUCAAGUGGAAAAAAAUAGUGAAAGUUCUAAAAGUGGCCCUACUUUUGAAAUUCGUAUACCAGCUGAGAAUGUCACCGCUACAAACCGUCAAGUUAGAGGUGGCCAGCUGUGGGGGACCGAUGUUUACACUUAUGACUCGGAUCUUGUUGCUGUUCUCAUGCAUACAGGUUAUUGUCGCCCAACAGCUUCUCCACCUCCCGUGGCUGUACAAGAGUUGCGCACAACCAUUCGAGUGCUACCUCCACAAGAUUGCUAUAUAUCAACCCUGAGAAACAAUGUUCGAUCCCGUGCUUGGGGUGCUGCAAUUGGUUGUAGUUAUAAAGUUGAGCGGUGCUGCAUUGUGAAGAAAGGAGGUGGAACUAUUGAUCUUGAACCCUGCCUUACGCAUACCUCAACCAUUGAACCUACCCUUGCACCAGUAGCUGUUGAACGGACAAUGACUACUAGGGCUGCAGCUUCGAAUGCAUUGCGGCAACAAAGAUUUGUACGUGAAGUUACAAUACAGUACAACCUUUGCAAUGAACCUUGGAUCAAAUAUAGUAUAAGCAUUGUUGCUGACAAGGGUCUAAAAAAGCCACUCUAUACCUCCGCUCGUUUAAAGAAGGGAGAAGUUCUGUAUCUGGAAACACACUCCUGCAGAUACGAGCUCUGUUUUAUUGGAGAAAAGAUGGUGAAAGCUAUACCAGCAAGUCAGAUGCAUGACCCAGAUACAGAGAAGUCUCAAAAUCACCAUCACCAUCCAACAAAUGGUGACAAAGCUGAUUCUGAUCAUGUCAUGGUUGAUGUGUUUCGAUGGUCUCGAUGUAAGAAUCCUCUGCCCCAGAAAGUGAUGCGGUUGAUUGGCAUCCCUCUUCCUCUUGAACACGUGGAGGUGCUUGAAGAAAGCCUGGACUGGGAAGAUGUACAGUGGUCCCAAACUGGUGUUUGGAUUGGAAGAAAGGAAUAUACCCUUGCUCGGGUACAUUUCUUGUCAAUGAAUUAGUUCAUUGUCAUGUUUUGUUUCAAAAGGGGGAUAGGGUGCUGCCAUGAUGUAAUGCAUGUGUACUUUUAACAUUAAAAAGUAAAUUUUAGUACCUUUCUCAUGUAACUUAAAAUAGUUUUUUAGUUUUCAAUAAAAAGUUUUAAUGUUUAAUUUUUCUUAA